rnacentral:tRNA from 1 species
UCUAAUAUGACAGAUUAAUGUAAUGAAUUUAAACUUCAUAAAUAAAGACUUUCUUUUGUUAGAA